AGCAGCUCCUUCCUCUAUGAGUGGGCGAGGGUGUGGAGAUGAAAAUGCGGGGCUUCUGGUAUAAAGAAAACUGAAUGGGUUUUGUGUGUCUUUGUGUUUUUUGUUCUUUUUUUGCUGCGGUACUUUUAGCUGAGCUCCUCUGAAAGCGAGAUUUGUGUCCAUCUGGAAACACAUUGACCCACACCCGCAUGAGAAGUAUGGAGGCUAUAAAACAGGCAAACACUCAAAGAAGGAUCUGUGACCUACACUCGAUGUCCAGCCUCUGGCCACAUCUGGUCCACCAAGCAUCUCUGCUGUAGGCUGGCUGGAGCCCUGGUGAAAGGUGGCUUUUCUUCCAUCCAGGCAGCUAUGACGAAAGGAAAGAGAAUGAGAGCAUGAGCCCUGGGG